rnacentral:rRNA from 1 species
GACGAACGCUGGCGGCGUGCUUAACACAUGCAAGUCGAACGGAAAGGCCCUGCUUUUGUGGGGUGCUCGAGUGGCGAACGGGUGAGUAACACGUGAGUAACCUGCCCUUGACUUUGGGAUAACUUCAGGAAACUGGGGCUAAUACCGGAUAGGAGCUCCUGCUGCAUGGUGGGGGUUGGAAAGUGUCGGCGGUUGGGGAUGGACUCGCGGCUUAUCAGCUUGUUGGUGGGGUAGUGGCUUACCAAGGCUUUGACGGGUAGCCGGCCUGAGAGGGUGACCGGCCACAUUGGGACUGAGAUACGGCCCAGACUCCUACGGGAGGCAGCAGUGGGGAAUAUUGCACAAUGGGCGGGAGCCUGAUGCAGCAACGCCGCGUGCGGGAUGACGGCCUUCGGGUUGUAAACCGCUUUCGCCUGUGACGAAGCGUGAGUGACGGUAAUGGGUAAAGAAGCACCGGCUAACUACGUG